AGGGCGGGGGCUCACCGGGCCGGUCCCCACGGUUCCAGCUAUUCCUGGGGCACGCGGAAGCCAGGUGCUGGAGGCGAGCACGUCACCUCUGUACGUUCGAGCGGAGAACCGCGGGUGUCAGUAGAGCCGGAUGAGCCGCAGCCCAAGCUUGUGCUCGGGUACCACCUGAGUGCGCUGUAGUUCAACUCCAUUCAACUUUGAUAUUCUCUCACAAGAUGGCCCCUACUUCAGUCAGCGAUUGGCAGGAGAGUAAACCCUGGUGGCUUUUGAGAAGAGUAUGAGAAGAAGAGGCAUGUCUGUCCCUUGUCUCUCAUGGUGUGAGUUCCUGUGCUGCUUCAAAGCUGCCAACAAGAAAGCCAUCAGCAGAUAUGGCUCCUGACCUUGAAACAUAGUCAGGAGUCAAAAUAGCCUCUCUGUGACCCUCCCAGUCUGUGGUGUUAUGCUAUUAAUAAAGAUAGACUAGGAUGGCCUAGACGUGUUUCGAGUGUGUUGAGUCCAUUUCUCUGCUUGUUUGUGCUUCAGUUUUGUCGUCUGCAGGGUGGAAAUGAUAAAAUCCCUUUCUGAACACUGCUCUGAAGGUUUAGGGCAUCAACAAAGAAAGCUCAGAUACAAUGAGGGCUGGGGAGAUACAGUCCCUGACACUGCUCCCAGGUGUAGGAAAAAAGAAUCCACGAUUUAUGCAGACAAUAUCCACAAAUAACACUGUUUAAAUAAAUAAACCUGGAGAAGAGGAAACAAUGAGAAGACAAGGGGAUGGUAGUUUCCUUAAGCAUUAAAAAGUUCCUUAUACACCUACAAAGCUGAUUAUGAGCACCCUGGGUCUAAAACACCCCAGUCUCGUUCUUGCUGAGUACCACUUGGUUGCAGGAAGAAUGUAGGACCCAGGACAUGAGCUGUGCAGACCCCACCAGGUAUGGUUCAGGCAGUGUUCUGGCUCGGCUGCUUACCAGGGUGUUUAAGUGCAAAAGUCCCCAAGGAUGUUCAGAUCCAUCUGCUGCUGCUGAUUCGUUAGUGGUGUCUGCUGAGUGGACUGGACUGCAGCUGCUGAUUCCUGCUGGUGUUUUGCUGGUGGACUGGAAUGCUGACAAUGAAGAUUAGAAUAGCCCCAAAGAACUACUUCUAAACAGGGUGAGCAUUUCACCACGAGCCACCACCAUGAUAUGCUGUUUACCUCAGGCCCAGAGACGUGGUCACAUGCAGAAAGGACACGUGAGCAUGUGUUUGUGUGACAGUCUUGGGAAAACAGAAUCUCCUGUAUCAUCUGAGAUCAUUUAACUUCUGAGAAGACAAGCUGUAUGCAUACCAAAAAUACCACCCGCAAGAUAUAAAUGCAAGACAGAAGUUACAAAAUCAACUUCUUCUCCCUCACUGCUCCUUGAGUCCUCCUCUGGGCACGGUGGGCCAGUAACAAGCAUAUUUAUUUAGCUGGCAACAUUUUUUUUUUACAAUACUACAGGGAGAAACUGAGUCUGUCACGUGUAUUCCUGGUCUCUCUGAGAACAGGUAGGAGGGAGUACACCCUCCCUCACUGCACUGGUAAUGCUUGCUUCAGAGGGUCCUUUCCACACACCCUGGCUGACACAGUGAGCAGGUGUCUAAACUUCUUACCUUGUAUCUUUUAAUCCUUUCUUUCAUCUUCAAAAAUAUGGAGCUUAAGUAUCCACAGUUUUCAUGUCAGUGAUAGCAAAGCCGGGCUGCUUUUGUAAGUGGUUUGAGGGCCUGUGAGAUGACUUAGACUAUAACAGUGCUUGUUAUGCCAGUCUGAUGAUCUGAGUUCCAUGUUCAGGUCCCACAGUGGAAGGCAGGGAAUGUGUUCUCUAGCCCCCAUGUGAUAGCUACACUCAUACACACAUCACAUACACACAAAUGAUGAUGGUCUGAUGUUGGUAGUGAUGAUAGUGUGGUGAUGAUGAUGGGUCUGGAGAGAUGACAGCGGUUAGGAAACUGUUCUUCCAGAUCCUAGGUUCUGUUCACAGCACCUAUAUCAGAUAGCCCAUAACCACCUGUAACUGUGGCUCCAAGGAAUUUGACACCUCUUCCCUCCAUGAACAUUUACAUGCAUAUAUGUACAUACCCAUUCACAGACACAUAUGCAUAUAUGUGUAUAUAUGCAUAUACAAACUCUGAACUUCUCAGUGGACAAACGUUUGGUUCACCAUGCCCCUUCUCCUCCUGGCCUGGUUUCCGUCUUGUGGUGAUGACUCCGUAUGUGCUAGUGAGCUUCACUGAGAAGCAAGUGUGUGCCAGUAUUUCCCUCAGGCACAGUGACUAAUCCUGAGAGGUGCUCAGCUAGAACCUGCUUCCAAUGCAUGGGUGACCACGAACUAAAUACAUAAUACUCCAGGCAAGCAUGAGUGCCUUCCUCUCUGCAGCUCCUUAGCCUCCCAGAACCACAAGAGGAGUUUUACACAGACCUCCGAGAUGCAUUGCUGUCAGGAUCUGAAGACAACAUUAGAAAACCAAAGAUGGUUUUCACUCUGUUUUUAUAAUAAUAAGAUGCUGUGUACAC
rnacentral:lncRNA from 1 species